CUGACUGUAGAAGGUAGUAUGGAGAUUCGUCAAUAGUCAAGCAGUCUAUCAGUUUUUGACUGUUAGAAUAUAAACAACUGUAAGAAUACACCGUAAAUUUAUACGGAUGCCCCUUUGACUGCUCGCCGAAGUCCUUUUUGUCCCGGCCGGUAGGUCUCUAAACGUUACAGAGAACCCCAAACAACCCAAACUGUUAAUCUGCGAUACUGCUUUGUACUUACAAUCUUGUAUCCACUGACUAUCUUGUUAGAUUAACCCAAUAAAUUUCAUUCACUCCGCAUACUCAAUCCUAUAGACACCCUUUUAAUUCUUCAAUCUCAGACGUAACUCGAUUUCACAAAACAGUCAAGAGUAAUCAAACCCACUUCAUUAAAAAUCCCGAUUCACCAUUACAACACUGACUUCAGCAACGAUUGCCUCAGUCUUUCCAAAACCCUAUGAAGAAAAAAAACCCAAUUCUCUGUUUUCUUUCCCCGCUUGAAGCAUGAAGCUCGCUCUCCCCAAUCUUCAAAAAAAAACCUCCCCUCCUAACUCUUAUUCUCUGAAUUUCUUCAGUCUUCCGUCUUGGAUCCGGUAUUGGCUCCCACCGUCAAAGCUUAGAUCCAAAACUGGUUCUCGCCGUCAGAGCUUUCUCCUCCGUUUUUACCUUUAAGAAAUCUUUUUACCGAAAGGACGUUCCUGGAAUGGCACAAAGGACAAAACAGCGUGAAAUGGAAUCGGAGCCCAUAAUUGGGACCACAUUGAGUCGCACGACCAAUUCAGGUCUCAUAUUGGGAAAGAGUCCAAUAGUAACCUGGAUGUUUGCGUAAUUGGGUCAAAUUGGUCCUCGCAUCAGAUUGGCUAAGAGGCCCGUAGUAAGACCUAGAUGUUCCCAUAAUUAGACUGUAUUGGGUUGCCCGACCAAUUCAGGUCUCAUAUUGGAUAAGAAGACCCGGAUUGGAUUCUUGAAAUUAGAUCCAAUUGGCUCUUUGAACUAGGCUCAUCAGUCGUGUAAAUUGGUCCUUUCCAUUUCUGCUGACUCCCGUUAUUGGAAUCGAAUGGAGCAUUUCAGUAUGCCCCAACUGACUGUAAUGGGUCAGUGACCCUAACCUCCCAGUAUUUGCAUUGGUAUUGGUUGUUACUCCCAAUAUUCGAGGUAACUGAACAUUAAUAAAAGUCAUCUUUCUUUAUAUUUUCACAGUAUACUCGUGUGACAACACGACAUCCACCCCCUCUAAAUCUGUGCAUCCUCCGGUAUGCACUAGUUUACCCAAUUGCUGUUUGAUUUAGAAUAUAUCCUCUAAGUCUUUGUCCAGUUCGUCUUAUGCGGAACUGAGUUGGUCGCACCUUGAGGAAGAGUGCACAUUCUAACCAAUCCAAGUGGUGUCUUCAUUGUUGUCAUAUCUCUACUUCCUUCAGCAAGUUGAAAUUGAUCAUAACCUGAAUACAAGUCACCCAUUGAAUAGAUCGCCCUUCCAGCAAACGCCUCAGCAAAUUCAUCCAUAAUAGGUCCAAUUCCUGCAUUCUCGACAAUUACUGCAUUCACCGGUUGCAUAUCUUGAAUAAACCGUAGUGACCUAUUCUUCUUAGGUACCGUAAACCAUCAACUAGAAUACGGCACAAACGAAGGUUCCAAUAUUUUCAUCUUUAUCUUUUCUUUUAAUAGUUCUACCAAUUUAGGUAAAUGUGCCCUCGGUACUGGAAUCGGUCUUAGAUUCCAAGGUACAUGUGGUACAGUGAAGAUAACCAUAGGUGUUAUAAUAUUCAGAUCCACACACCCAAUUUCAUGAGAUUCGAAGGCAAACGAUCUACCUUGUUUAGCCAACAUCUUUCCGAAGCAAGUGAUUUCCUCCAGCAAUAAAGAACUAUCAGAAUCAAUCUUCAAUUCUUCAAAAGUCUCUUUAGUAAACUGAUGUCCAAUACUCAUUGGAUCUCUUAAAUUUGCUUCUUUUGAUGCUUUUCUCAUUUGUUCUUUAGAAUCUUCUGGUAAUGGUCCGGCAACAAGCUUUACGUUCUUAUCUGCCGUUUUAUAUCUCGUCUCUACAGUGACUUCUGGUGCUUGAAAAGAUUCAAGUAUGGUAUAAACCUCUCUUGAAUGAAUCUCAACAAUCUUAUCAUUAUCCCCUAACUCAAUAGAUGUAAUCAAUUCCAAUGAAUCUUCCAGUCCAUUUUCUUCAUAAAUACCUAAAAUCCUCUCAUCAUCUUGCAAUGUACCUAACUUGCGUAAUUCUCUUUCAAUAUUAUAUAAUCUUUUUUUUUCUUUUCUUUUAAAAUCAUCAACUUUCUUAUACAUAAUAUUUCCAUUCUCCAAUAUACCAAUAAAACUCGCAUCAAAGGCACCUUCAUCUUGCGAGAGUACCUCUUCUUUUGUACCUCCAUAAUCUCGCUUUACAGUGGUACCUUCCUAAAAUCCUUAAAUCCUUCAACAAUCUUUGGUAAUGGUUUCUCCCUCAACCUAUCUCGAUUCCGUUCAUGGGUAGGAGGUACUGUUAGAAAUUGUACAGCUUUCCUCCCAUCUUCGCUACGUACCCUUGCAUAAGCAGAACCAUCGUCAAGUACUUUUGUUUCCAUCCGUGUUGCCAUAGUAUAAGGUUGUCCUAAAAUCAACAGAUAAGACGUUGUAUCUUGAACAAAGAAAUGUUGCUCCGUCGCAACAUCCCCAAUCCGAAUUUUGACAUCUGGACAAGCUCUAUAUAAUUCGCCCCGUGUGUUAUUAGCUGCUCGUAUUGCCCAUCCAUGUUCCAUAUCAAUUGGCCAUUUUUGUUUCUUAUAAAGAUCUUUAGACAUAAGAUUUAUUUCAGAACCAUGGUCGACUAAAGCAACAAUUGGUUCUUCUAUAUCUCCUACUUUCACCAAUACCUCAGUAGUUGCCCUUGCCCAAUGCUUUCGAGUAUAAUGGCUCAAAGUUUCCAUUUCCUUGUCACUAUAAUCUUCAAAAUGUACUCGUUGAUUAUACCCAUUCUUUUCAUUUGUUGGUUGCUUAUAACCAAUAUCAACAUCUUCUUCAUCUUUAUAUAUUCUUGCAUCAAUAGCAUGACUCAUUCCAGUUUCGCCCAUUAAUUACCUCUUUCGCUUAAUGCUGUCAAUGAUAACAUCAUGAAACUCCUUCUUUGCAAUUCCUAAGACUUCUUUCAAUGUGAAUUCCACCUUAGCGUUUAAUAUACGUUCUUCCAACACUCCUUUCAAAUUCGUUGCCGCUUCAAUGACAGAAAGUAGCUUAUAAGCAAUUGAUUUGCCCUUAUCUUUUGUCUCCUUUGUUUUUUCUCCCAAUGAUGCUGAGGUAUCCUUUACAGGUAAUUCUUGUGAAGCUGCCUCCCAAACCUUGUCUCCUUGAGUUUGCCUCUUAUAAGAAUUUCUUUUUCUCGUAUCAUCAAAAUUUCCUCGUCUCUUUUCUUCCAUCAAAGCUUCAUGUUGGCUCUUAGCAAUAUGUGCAUGAACUGAAAGAGACUCAACAGGAUCCUCUCAACCUGUUGUACCUUGUAUUGUAGCUCCAGUCCUCAAUAACGCUUCUCGAGGUAAUUUCCCUUCUUGCAUUGUAGAAACGACAGAAGCCCAAAACUCACUAGUUUCCGUACUUCCACCAAGGUCAUCAUCUACUCUAGCACCAUAACUUAUACUUUCUCGUGUUGUUGUUUCAUGGUCUUUUAAGUAAUCUUGAACCAAUGCUCUCAUUCCUCCUUUGCCAAAAUUGGUUUGAAGAAGAUCCUCCCUAUCUUUUAAUGCUAUCUUCCCAUAUUUCCACCAAAUAAUUCUUUGCUGUAUCAUAUUAUUAAAUUCAUUGCAAUCUUUUCUAGUAUGUGAAGCAUCAUCACACCAAAUGCAACUUUGUACAUAUCCUUAUUUUGAAACAUUCUUCGAAUUAUUUGUAGAAGUAUUCUCUUCAAGUCUUGCCAAUUUGAUUUGAAGAUCUCGCAUUCCUCGUACAAUUUCUUCCAUCCCCAUAUCUGCUUUCUUUGAUAAGGAUGUCGAAGGUUGAACUGUAGGCAUUGUUGGUGGUGUUGUACGUACUGGAGCUUUGGGUGCUUGUACUAUUUUCGGAAUAUUACUCCUAUCCUUCCUCCUUUCUCUUUUUGUAAGCAAUCCCACCGCAUCUUCAACGUUCUUCUACUUCGUUGUCAAUCCUUCAUCUUCUUCUUUGUCUUCAAGAAGGAUUUCUAAUUUCCCUUGCAAUUCUCCAUCAGCAGCUUGAAGAAAUAGAUCAACUUUGUUCGGCUCUAAUGUCAAUUUUUCUACCUUCGACAAUUGAGAGUACUGCCUCUCAAAUUCCCUUAGUAGCUCUGUUGCUUACAAAUUCUUAUUAGGCCGUUCAAUCCAUUCCAGAAACAGCUUCUUAGUAAUGCGAUUGGCAUCUUUCAAGAAAUAUUCGUCUUUCAAUGCAUGUGAAAAAACCUCCCAUGAAUUUCCAUAACGAUCCGUAAUCGAUGUAAUAUGGUCUCUUACCUCCGGUAUCAUGGCAAGUCCAAAUAAUUCAACCAUUUUCUUCUCAGAAACCCGAUUUAAUUCCAUUUCACGAACAUAACAUCUUAAAUACCUUGAAAUAUUCCUUCCAUCAAAUUGAUCAAUUUUAUUGACCACUGCUUGCAAUGCUUUAAUUGCCAAAGCUUCCUUUCGAUCAUUGCUUUAUUGUUGCUGCAUUGAUAAUGAGAAGGCUUGAAACAUACUAGCAAUAGAUGGAUCCAUGUGCAUACCUUGUCUUUGAGAAGAAUCCCCACUAGAAACUCCUCCGAAAGAUCCUUCAAAAUUUUUAUUUUCGUUUUUCAUAAAAAAAAAAAUAAUAAAUAAAAAUAAAAAAUAAAAAUAAAACCAAACCAAAUCCAAUACCUUCGACCUCAAGCUUUCACGUUGGGUUCACCACUUUAUGUCGUAUUACGUGCUUUCCUGCUCGAGAAUGCGCCGGGCGUCUGGCUAUAGAAGGUAGUAUGGAGAUUCGCCAAUAGUCAAGCAGUCUAUCAGUUUCUGACUGUUAGAAUAUAAACGACUGCAAAAAUACACCAUAAAUCUAUACGGAUGCCCCUUUGACUGCUCGUCGAAGUCCUUUUUGUCCCGGCCGGUAGGUCUCUAAACGUUACAGAGAACCCCAAACAACCCAAACUGUUAAUCUGCGAUACUACUUUGUACUUACAAUCUUGUAUCCACUGACUGUCUUGUUAGAUUAACCUUAUAAAUUUCAUUCACUCCGCAUACUCAAUCCUAUAGACACCCUUUUAAUUCUUCAAUCUCAGACGUAACUUGAUUUCACAAAACAAUCAAGAGUAAUCAAACCCACUUCAUUAAAAAUCCCGAUUCACCAUUACAACACUGACUUCAGCAACGAU
rnacentral:lncRNA from 1 species